CCAAUAGCGUAUAUUAAAGUUGUUGCAGUUAAAAAGCUCGUAGUUGAAUUUUAGGCCUGGCCAGGCGGUCCGUCUUUGGCGAGUACUGUCUUGUUGUCGGGUCUUCCUUCUGGUGAACCAGUAUGUCCUUUAUUGGGUGUGUUGGGGAGCCAGGACCAUUACCUUGAAAAAAUUAGAGUGUUUAAAGCGGGCUAUUGCUUGAAUAGAUUAGCAUGGAAUAAUAGAAUAGGACGUUGUGGUUCUAUUUUGUUGGUUUCUAGGACCACCGUAAUGAUUAAUAGGGAUAGUUGGGGGCAUUAGUAUUCAAUUGUCAGAGGUGAAAUUCUUGGAUUUAUUGAAGACUAACUAUUGCGAAAGCAUUUGCCAAGGAUGUUUUCAUUAAUCAAGAACGAAAGUUAGGGGAUCGAAGACGAUCAGAUACCGUCGUAGUCUUAACCAUAAACUAUGCCGACUAGGAAUCGGGCGACGGUAUUUUAAUGACUCGCUCGGCGCCUUAUG
rnacentral:misc_RNA from 1 species